rnacentral:tmRNA from 1 species
GGGGAUGUUCCGGCAUUCGACAGGGAUCUUUAAAAGACAUGGCUUUGCGUUCACGGCGUCGUGCUGUCCGCCGUUAUCCGUCCAGUGCACAAUAAAUGCAGAUAAUGCAGGAGAGUUGGAGGCUGUAGCAGCUCUGCGCACACCAGUGCCAGCGUUUGCUUAGUUUUCACUCGCUACCUCCCCACAUUUUGUAGGGGACGUCGGCCCGGUUGAGUCCUCAUAGAUCGGGUCGGCGCAACUUUUGAGGAUCGGAAGGGUCGGCUCGCCACCGGCACAACCUAAACAAUCGGCGUACGCCGGAGUGGUUUUCCGUUCAACUUCUAUCGCUCCGGUCGACAACUCAAGCUGAACUACUGAACGUAGACGGGCCAUCUCUUUGUCCUUGGACGGGGGUUCGACUCCCCCCAUCUCCACCA